rnacentral:rRNA from 1 species
CCUACGGGAGGCAGCAGUGGGGGAUAUUGCACAAUGGGGGGAACCCUGAUGCAGCGACGCCGCGUGGGUGAAGGAGUGCUUCGGCAUGUAAAGCCCUAUCGGCAGGGAAGAAGCAAGACGGUACCUGACUAAGAAGCCCCGGCUAACUACGUGCCAGCAGCCGCGGUAAUACGUAGGGGGCGAGCGUUAUCCGGAUUCACUGGGUGUAAAGGGAGCGUAGGCGGCCAAGCAAGCCAGGGGUGAAAGCCCGGGGCCCAACCCCGGGACUGCCCUUGGGACUGAGUGGCUAGAGUGCGGGAGGGGCAGGCGGAAUACCUGGUGUAGAGGUGAAAUGCGUAGAUAUCAGGUGGAACACCGGCGGCGAAGGCGGCCUGCUGGACCGCGACUGACGUUGAGGCUCGAAAGCGUGGGGAGCGAACAGGAUUAGAUACCCUAGUAGUC